rnacentral:rRNA from 1 species
GGCGUGUACUGCUUGGCUGGGCCUUACUUCUUGGUGAGCCGGCGUGCCCUUUAUUGGUGUGCGUCGGGGAACCAGGACUUUUACCUUGAGAAAAUUAGAGUGUUCAAAGCAGGCCUAUGCCUGAAUACAUUAGCAUGGAAUAAUAGAAUAGGACGUGCGGUUCUAUUUUGUUGGUUUCUAGAGUCGCCGUAAUGAUUAAUAGGGACAGUUGGGGGCAUUGGUAUUGAGUCGCUAGAGGUGAAAUUCUUGGAUUGACUCAAGACCGACUAUUGCGAAAGCAUUUGCCAAGGAUGUUUUCAUUAAUCAAGAACGAAGGUUAGGGGAUCGAAAACGAUCAGAUACCGUUGUAGUCUUAACAGUAAACUAUGCCGACUAGGGAUCGGAUGACCUCAAAAUUGAUGUGUCAUUCGGCACCUUACGAGAAAUCAAAGUCUUUGGGUUCUGGGGGGAGCAUGGUCGCAAGGCUGAAACUUAAAGGAAUUGACGGAAGGGCACCACCAGGUGUGGAGCCUGCGGCUUAAUUUGACUCAACACGGGGAAACUCACCAGGUCCAGACAUAACUAGGAUUGACAGAUUGAUAGCUCUUUCAUGAUUUUAUGGGUGGUGGUGCAUGGCCGUUCUUAGUUGGUGGAGUGAUUUGUCUGGUUAAUUCCGAUAACGAACGAGACCUUAACCUGCUAAAUAGCCAGGCCGGCUUCGGCUGGUCUCUGGCUUCUUAGAGGGACUGUCAG